CCGUAGCUCAGUUGGAUAGAGCACCGGCCUUCUAAGCCGGGUGUCGGGGGUUCGAGUCCCCCCGG
rnacentral:tRNA from 1 species